rnacentral:lncRNA from 1 species
UGAUGUGUUUUUCAUGUCUGUACUCCGAAAAAUGUGGCCACAACAGCGAGUUAAAAAAGUCUGAGCCUGAGUGACGAUAAGGAUUUUCUUGGAGAAAAAAUACAUUAGGGCCAAUGGGGAGAGAUUUCCGCCUAUUUGGACAGUUGGUCACCUGCUGGCCAAGGGGUAGGAUUUAAUGAUUUGAAACCUCUUUUGUGAGAAGCAGGACACAUAUACCUCCAUUUUGAUGUAUUUUUUAUGGCUGUGGAGUGAGAUUUGUGGGCGUGGGAGCGAUAUAUUCAAGCGAGGUUCUGUCGAUCAGAGACGAGGUCUGCACUCUAGCUUUUCAAAUCAUCACUCUAGCCUCUCCAAUACUGCCCCAUUAUAAAGCCUGAAAUUUGCUGAAAACCACAAGUUGCAUAAAGCUAAACUGUGGAAAAACUGUAAAAGAUAGCACAAAGAGGUUAAUACAACAUCAAUAGUCGACAAGACAAUGAACAUUUUAAAGCAAAAAUGAGGUCUCUAGGUGAAAGUAUGGUGAAGUUAUAAGGCUUAGAAGGUGGACGAAUAACAGGAAGAAGUGGAAGAUUUCCCCAUUCAUUUCUAUGGGAAAAAAAGUUUGGCACAAAAAGUGAAAAAUAAUAAAAAGUACAAAGGAUAGAAAGGAAAAAAAUACAAGCACACAUGUCCUGAUGGAGUGGAAUAGUUUAAAGUUUGAACGGUUGAAAUCGGACAAAUUUUGAAGGAGGAGAAGCGGUCCAAAGAAACGUAUGGGGAGAGUGUUAAGUAUAAUACUAGAAAAAUUGCAUUUCCUUGCAGAAAAUGCGUGGAAAUGCUGAGUGCUGAAAGCUGAAAAAGCAAUGCUAAACUGCUAAUAAAACAUGGAGAAAGGUAUAAAUGUUAAAGCUGUUGAAGGGGUGAAAAAGAAAUAUAAGUUGGAUAAUAGUUUAAUUGGUUGAAGGACAAAUAGUAUGAAUAUGCUCUAUAAAAGGAAAUUUUAUUCAUGCUGAAAGAGGCUAGAAAAAUGUCGAAAAUUGCACAAAGUUUGAAUGAAGAAGGAAACUGCCUUUAAAGGCAGGAAGGUGAGAAGUGGCAUAAGUUUAAGUUGUAGUACUAGAAGAAGUAUGAUAAGAAGUCAAGUCGUGAUACUAGUAGUCAUGUCAGCAGUAGAAGUAGAUUGAGAAUAAAAGAAGUAUAAGUCAAAGUAGUAAAGAAAGUAGAAAUAGUAGCAAUAGCAGCAGUAGAGAAAGUAGAAAUAGGAGCAAUAGCAGUUGAAGUAGAGGGGAAAGUUCUAGUUUAAUUGACAUAAGUAGUUGUAGUACUAGAGGUAGGAUUUUGUUUGAAGGACGGAUUAAUGCAUAAAUAUUAAAAAUAAUAUAAAACAGGGAAAAUUUUAUUAAUUAAAAAUCCUCAAGUAUCAGAAAGUUUUUAAGUAUUAGAAAGGUUUGAAUCAGUUUGAAUGAGUUUAAAUUAGUUUGAAAAAUUAAAUGAUAAAUCAUCACUGAGUGACUUUAAAAUGAGAAAAAUUUAAAUGAAUAUAAAUCCUAAAUACACCCCAUAAUGUCCUCAAUGAGCUUAAAUUUUAAAGCCCUGAAUGGUUUCUGUAGGUCAAAGGUCAUGUGAGGAGAUAGGGGCUGAAGGUUUUUCAAGCGCUCUAGGAAAGGGUUUUAAGUGUCAUCCCCAGUGCUAUGUGUACUGAGCCUGGCUUCAUGUGUCUCAUAUGGCCAUUAGAAGCAGCUUUCCAGUCAGCUGUGUGUCUCCAGGUGCACAAAUUGGUUGCCAUGGGGACCUUGGAUGCAUAACUAUAGCAGGAGAAAGAAGGCUUGAAGCUAAGGAAACAGGACUCCAAGUAGGCCCUGACGCUCACCCUCUGUAUAUAUUCAUAAGGAGCUUGUGAGAACACAAGACUCUGCUGAACACAUUAAUACAAUUUAUUAUCACAAUCCUCAAAACACCCCAUAAUAUCUUCAAUGAGCUGAAUUUUUCAAGCCCAGAAUGGUUUCUGUAGCUCAAAGUUUGUGGGUGGAGAUAGGUGGUGAAGCAGACACAUAUUAUCUGUGUGUACAAGCAGGUGAACUGCAAGGUAGACCUGACAAUGCAACAAGUACAAGAAUGUGUGCGUGUGUGUGUGUGUUUCUCAUUAAUGACUGCAUCCCUAACAGCUGUGAGAUCAAAGGCAAAUCACUGACCUACUGUUUGAAUGAGAAGCAGCUGAACAGCAGAGGAUUUGAAGCCUGUGAACUUCUUCACAUAGCGUGAUUUCCUUAAGUCCCAGAAUGAAAAUAAGAACAUCGUACGAAUCCUCCGUCCUUCAUGAACACAAUGAUGUGUUUUUCAUGUCUGCACUCCGAAAAAUGUGGCCACAACAGCGAGUUAAAAAAGUCUGAGCCUGAGCGAUGAUCCGGAUUUUCUUGGAGAAAAAUAACAUUACCGUCAAUGGGAGAGAUUUCCGCCUUCUUUGGACAGUUGGUCACCUGCUGGCCAAGGGGUACGAUUUAAUGAUUUGAAACCUCUUUUGUGAGAAGCAGGACACAUAUACCUCCAUUUUGAUGUAUUAUUUGUGUCAGUGGAGUGAGAUUUGUGGGCGUGGGAGCGAUAUAUUCGAGCGAGGUUCUGUCGAUCAGAGACGAGGUCUGCACUCUAGCUGAUGACAUCAUCACUCUAAACUCUCCAAUACACACCCAUUAUAAAGCUUGAAAUUUGCUGAAAACCACAAGUUGCUUAAAGCUAAAUUGUGGAAAAACUGUAAGAGAUGUCAAAAAACUGAGUACAACUGUAAUAGUCGACAAGUGAAUGAACAUUUUAAAGCAAAAAUGAGGUCUCUAGGUGAAAGUAUGCUGAAGUUAUAAGGUCUAGAAGGUGGAAGAAAAAAAGGAAGAAUUGGAAGAUUUCCCCAUUGACUUCAAUGUUAAAAUUUUUUGCACAAAAAGUAAAAAAAAACAAAAAGUAUAAAUGUUAGAAAAGUGAAAAGUAAUAGCAAACGUGUCCUGAAGGAGUGGAAUAGUUUAAAGUUUGAACGGUUGAAAUCGCACAAACUGGGAAGGAGUUGAAAGCGGACGAAAAACGGCGGAAGAAUAAUAAUAAUAACUAGAAAAAUUGCAUUUCCUUGCAGAAAAUGCGUGGAAAUGCUGAGUGCUGAAAGCUGAAAAAGCAAUGCUAAACUGCUAAUAAAACAUGGAGAAAGGUAUAAAUGUUAAAGCUGUUGAAGGGGUGAACAGAAAUAUAAGUUGGAUAAUUGAUUAAUUGGUUGAAGGACAAAUAGUAUGAAUAUGCUCUAUAAAAGGAAAUUUUAUUCAUGCUGAAAGAGGCUAGAAAAAUGUCUAAAAUUGCACAAAGUUUGAAUGAAGAAGGAAAUUGCCUUAAAAGGCAGGAAGGUGAGAAGUGGCAUAAGUUUAAUUUUUUAAGUAUUAGAAAGGUUUGAAUCAGUUUGAAUCAGUUCAAAUUAGUUUGAAAAAUUAAAUGAUAAAUCAUCACUGAGUGACUUUAAAAUGUGAAAAAUCUAAAUGAAUAUAAAUCCUAAAUACACCCCAUAAUGUCCUCAAUGAGCUUAAAUUUUAAAGCCCUGAAUGGUUUCUGUAGGUCAAAGGUCAUGUGAGGAGAUAGGGGCUGAAGUUUUUUCAAGCGCUCUAGGAAAGGGUUUUAAGUGUCAUCCCCAGUGCUAUGUGUACUGAGCCUGGCUUCAUGUGUCUCAUAUGGCCAUUAGAAGCAGCUUUCCAGUCAGCUGUGUGUCUCCAGGUGCACUAAUUGGUUGCCAUGGGGACCUUGGAUGCAUAACUAUAGCAGGAGAAAGAAGGCUUGAAGCUAAGGAAACAGGACUCCAAGUAGGCCCUGACACUCAUCCUCUGUAUCUAUUCCUGAUAAGGAGCUUGUGAGAACACAAGACUCUGCUGAACACAUUAAUACAAUUUAUUAUCACAAUCCUCAAAACACCCCAUAAUAUCUUCAAUGAGCUGAAUUUUAGAAGCCCAGAAUGGUUUCUGUAGCUCAAAGUUUGUGGGUGGAGAUAGGUGGCGAAGCAGACACAUAUUAACUGUGUGUACAAGCAGUCGAACUGCAAGGUAGACCUCAUAAAGCAACAAGUACAAGAAUGUGUGUGUGUGUGUGUGUGUGUGUGUCUCGUUAAUGACUGCAUCCUAAACAGCUGUGAGAUCAAAGGCAAAUCACUGACCUACUGUUUGAAUGAGAAGCAGCUGAACUGCAGAGGAUUUAGAGGCUCUAAACUUCUUCACAUAGCGUGAUUUCCUUAAGUCACAGAAUGAAAAUAAGAACAUCGUACGAAUCCUCCGCCCUUCAUGAACACAAUGAUGUCUUUUUCAUGUCUGUACUUCGAAAAAUGAGGCCACAACAGCGAGUUAAAAAAGUCUGAGCCUGAGCGAUGAUCCGGAUUUUCUUGGAGAAAAAUAACAUUAUGGUCAAUGGGAGAGAUUUCCGCCUUUUUUGGACAGUUGGUCACCUGCUGGCCAAGGGGUAGGAUUUAAUGAUUUGAAACCUCUUUUGUGAGAAGCAGGACACAUAUACCUCCAUUUUGAUGUAUUAUUUGUGUCAGUGGAGUGAGAUUUGUGGGCGUGGGAGCGAUAUAUUCGAGCGAGGUUCUGUCGAUCAGAGACGAGGUCUGCACUCUAGCUGAUGACAUCAUCACUCUAAACUCUCCAAUACACACCCAUUAUAAAGCUUGAAAUUUGCUGAAAACCACAAGUUGCUUAAAGCUAAAUUGUGGAAAAACUGUAAAAGAUAUCAAAAAACUGAGUACAACUAUAAUAGUCGACAAGUGAAUGAACAUUUUAAAGCAAAAAUGAGGUCUCUAGGUGAAAGUAUGCUGAAGUUAUAAGGUCUAGAAGGUGGAAGAAUAAAAGGAAGAAUUGGAAGAUUUCCCCAUUGACUUCAAUGUUAAAAUUUUUGCACAAAAAGUUAAAAAAAACAAAAAGUAUAAAUGUUAGAAAAGUGAAAAGUAAUAGCAAACGUGUCCUGAAGGAGUGGAAUAGUUUAAAGUUUGAACGGUUGAAAUCGCACAAACUGGGAAGGAGUUGAAAGCGGACGAAAAACGGCGGAAGAAUAAUAAUAAUAAUAAUAAUAAUAAUAAUAAAGAAACGGGAGAAUAACAAUAAGUGGAAAUGCCUAUCAGCAUUUCCACUUAACUAGAAAAAUUGCAUUUCCUUGCAGAAAAUGCGUGGAAAUGCUGAGUGCUGAAAGCUGAAAAAGCAAUGCUAAACUGCUAAUAAAACAUGGAGAAAUGUAUAAAUGUUAAAGCUGUUGAAGGGGUGUGAAAGAAAUGUAAGUUGGAUAAUUGAUUAAUUGGUUGAAGGACAAAUAGUAUGAAUAUGCUCUAUAAAAAGAAAUUUUAUUCAUACUGAAAGAGGCUAGAAAAAUGUCUAAAAUUGCACAAAGUUUGAAUGAAGAAGGAAAUUGCCUUAAAAGGCAGGAAGGUGGGAAGUGGCAUAAGUUUAAUUUUUUAAGUAUUAGAAAGGUUUGAAUCAGUUUGAAUCAGUUCAAAUUAGUUUGAAAAAUUAAAUGAUAAAUCAUCACUGAGUGACUUUAAAAUGUGAAAAAUCUAAAUGUAUAUAAAUCCUAAAUACACCCCAUAAUGUCCUCAAUGAGCUCAAAUUUUAAAGCCCUGAAUGGUUUCUGUAGGUCAAAGGUCAUGUGAGGAGAUAGGGGCUGAAGUUUUUUCAAGCGCUCUAGGAAAGGGUUUUAAGUGUCAUCCCCAGUGCUAUGUGUGCUGAGCCUGGCUUCAUGUGUCUCAUAUGGCCAUUAGAAGCAGCUUUCCAGUCAGCUGUGUGUCUCCAGGUGCACUAAUUGGUUGCCAUGGGGACCUUGGAUGCAUAACUAUAGCAGGAGAAAGAAGGCUUGAAGCUAAGGAAACAGGACUCCAAGUAGGCCCUGACGCUCAUCCUCUGUAUCUAUUCCUGAUAAGGAGCUUGUGAGAACACAAGACUCUGCUAAACACAUUAAUACAAUUUAUUAUCACAAUCCUCAAAACACCCCAUAAUAUCUUCAAUGAGCUGAAUUUUAGAAGCCCAGAAUGGUUUCUGUAGCUCAAAGUUUGUGGGUGGAGAUAGGUGGCGAAGCAGACACAUAUUAACUGUGUGUACAAGCAGCUGAACUGCAAGGUAGACCUCAUAAAGCAACAAGUACAAGAAUGUGUGUGUGUGUGUGUGUGUGUGUGUCUCGUUAAUGACUGCAUCCUAAACAGCUGUGAGAUCAAAGGCAAAUCACUGACCUACUGUUUGAAUGAGAAGCAGCUGAACUGCAGAGGAUUUAGAGGCUCUAAACUUCUUCACAUAGCGUGUUUUCCUUAAGUCACAGAAUGAAAAUAAGAACAUCGUACGAAUCCUCCGCCCUUCAUGAACACAAUGAUGUGUUUUUCAUGUCUGUACUCCGAAAAAUGAGGCCACAACAGCGAGUUAAAAAAGUCUGAGCCUGAGCGAUGAUCCGGAUUUUCUUGGAGAAAAAUAACAUUACGGUCAAUGGGAGAGAUUUCCGCCUUCUUUGGACAGUUGGUCACCUGCUGGCCAAGGGGUACGAUUUAAUGAUUUGAAACCUCUUUUGUGAGAAGCAGGACACAUAUACCUCCAUUUUGAUGUAUUAUUUGUGUCAGUGGAGUGAGAUUUGUGGGCGUGGGAGCGAUAUAUUCGAGCGAGGUUCUGUCGAUCAGAGACGAGGUCUGCACUCUAGCUGAUGACAUCAUCACUCUAAACUCUCCAAUACACACCCAUUAUAAAGCUUGAAAUUUGCUGAAAACCACAAGUUGCUUAAAGCUAAAUUGUGGAAAAACUGUAAGAGAUAUCAAAAAACUGAGUACAACUAUAAUAGUCGACAAGUGAAUGAACAUUUUAAAGCAAAAAUGAGGUCUCUAGGUGAAAGUAUGCUGAAGUUAUAAGGUCUAGAAGGUGGAAGAAUAAAAGGAAGAAUUGGAAGAUUUCCCCAUUGACUUCAAUGUUAAAAUUUUUGCACAAAAAGUUAAAAAAAACAAAAAGUAUAAAUGUUAGAAAAGUGAAAAGUAAUAGCAAACGUGUCCUGAAGGAGUGGAAUAGUUUAAAGUUUGAACGGUUGAAAUCGGACAAACUGGGAAGGAGUUGAAAGCGGACGAAAAACGGCGGAAGAAUAAUAAUAAUAAUAAUAAAGAAACGGGAGAAUAACAAUAAGUGGAAAUGCCUAUCAGCAUUUCCACUUAACUAGAAAAAUUGCAUUUCCUUGCAGAAAAUGCGUGGAAAUGCUGAGUGCUGAAAGCUGAAAAAGCAAUGCUAAACUGCUAAUAAAACAUGGAGAAAGGUAUAAAUGUUAAAGCUGUUGAAGGGGUGUGAAAGAAAUGUAAGUUGGAUAAUUGAUUAAUUGGUUGAAGGACAAAUAGUAUGAAUAUGCUCUAUAAAAAGAAAUUUUAUUCAUGCUGGAAGAGGCUAGAAAAAUGUCUAAAAUUGCACAAAGUUUGAAUGAAGAAGGAAAUUGCCUUAAAAGGCAGGAAGGUGGGAAGUGGCAUAAGUUUAAUUUUUUAACUAUUAGAAAGGUUUGAAUCAGUUUGAAUCAGUUCAAAUUAGUUUGAAAAAUUAAAUGAUAAAUCAUCACUGAGUGACUUUAAAAUGUGAAAAAUCUAAAUGUAUAUAAAUCCUAAAUACACACCAUAAUGUCCUCAAUGAGCUCAAAUUUUAAAGCCCUGAAUGGUUUCUGUAGGUCAAAGGUCAUGUGAGGAGAUAGGGGCUGAAGUUUUUUCAAGCGCUCUAGUAAAGGGUUUUAAGUGUCAUCCCCAGUGCUAUGUGUGCUGAGCCUGGCUUCAUGUGUCUCAUAUGGCCAUUAGAAGCAGCUUUCCAGUCAGCUGUGUGUCUCCAGGUGCACUAAUUGGUUGCCAUGGGGACCUUGGAUGCAUAACUAUAGCAGGAGAAAGAAGGCUUGAAGCUAAGGAAACAGGACUCCAAGUAGGCCCUGACGCUCAUCCUCUGUAUCUAUUCCUGAUAAGGAGCUUGUGAGAACACAAGACUCUGCUAAACACAUUAAUACAAUUUAUUAUCACAAUCCUCAAAACACCCCAUAAUAUCUUCAAUGAGCUGAAUUUUAGAAGCCCAGAAUGGUUUCUGUAGCUCAAAGUUUGUGGGUGGAGAUAGGUGGCGAAGCAGACACAUAUUAACUGUGUGUACAAGCAGCUGAACUGCAAGGUAGACCUCAUAAAGCAACAAGUACAAGAAUGUGUGUGUGUGUGUGUGUGUGUGUGUGUCUCGUUAAUGACUGCAUCCUAAACAGCUGUGAGAUCAAAGGCAAAUCACUGACCUACUGUUUGAAUGAGAAGCAGCUGAACUGCAGAGGAUUUAGAGGCUCUAAACUUCUUCACAUAGCGUGAUUUCCUUAAGUCCCAGAAUGAAAAUAAGAACAUCGUACGAAUCCUCCGCCCUUCAUGAACACAAUGAUGUGUUUUUCAUGUCUGUACUCCGAAAAAUGUGGCCACAACAGCGAGUUAAAAAAGUCUGAGCCUGAGCGAUGAUCCGGAUUUUCUUGGAGACAAAUUACAUUACGGUCAAUGGGAGAGAUUUCUGCCUUUUUUGGACAGUUGGUCACCUGCUGGCCAAGGGGUACGAUUUAAUUAUUUGAAACCUCUUUUGUGAGAAGCAGGACACAUAUACCUCCAUUUUGAUGUAUUAUUUGUGUCAGUGGAGUGAGAUUUGUGGGCGUGGGAGCGAUAUAUUCGAGCGAGGUUCUGUCGAUCAGAGACGAGGUCUGCACUCUAGCUGAUGACAUCAUCACUCUAAACUCUCCAAUACACACCCAUUAUAAAGCUUGAAAUUUGCUGAAAACCACAAGUUGCUUAAAGCUAAAUUGUGGAAAAACUGUAAGAGAUAUAAAAAAACUGAGUACAACUUUAAUAGUCGACAAGUGAAUGAACAUUUUAAAGCAAAAAUGAGGUCUCUAGGUGAAAGUAUGCUGAAGUUAUAAGGUCUAGAAGGUGGAAGAAUAAAAGGAAGAAUUGGAAGAUUUCCCCAUUGACUUCAAUGUUAAAAUUUUUGCACAAAAAGUUAAAAAAAACAAAAAGUAUAAAUGUUAGAAAAGUGAAAAGUAAUAGCAAACGUGUCCUGAAGGAGUGGAAUAGUUUAAAGUUUGAACGGUUGAAAUCGCACAAACUGGGAAGGAGUUGAAAGCGGACGAAAAACGGCGGAAGAAUAAUAAUAAUAAUAAUAAUAACUAGAAAAAUUGCAUUUCCUUGCAGAAAAUGCGUGGAAAUGCUGAGUGCUGAAAGCUGAAAAAGCAAUGCUAAACUGCUAAUAAAACAUGGAGAAAGGUAUAAAUGUUAAAGCUGUUGAAGGGGUGUGAAAGAAAUGUAAGUUGGAUAAUUGAUUAAUUGGUUGAAGGACAAAUAGUAUGAAUAUGCUCUAUAAAAAGAAAUUUUAUUCAUGCUGAAAGAGGCUAGAAAAAUGUCUAAAAUUGCACAAAGUUUGAAUGAAGAAGGAAAUUGCCUUAAAAGGCAGGAAGGUGGGAAGUGGCAUAAGUUUAAUUUUUUAAGUAUUAGAAAGGUUUGAAUCAGUUUGAAUCAGUUCAAAUUAGUUUGAAAAAUUAAAUGAUAAAUCAUCACUGAGUGACUUUAAAAUGUGAAAAAUUUAAAUGAAUAUAAAUCCUAAAUACACCCCAUAAUGUCCUCAAUGAGCUUAAAUUUUAAAGCCCUGAAUGGUUUCUGUAGGUCAAAGGUCAUGUGAGGAGAUAGGGGCUGAAGUUUUUUCAAGCGCUCUAGGAAAGGGUUUUAAGUGUCAUCCCCAGUGCUAUGUGUACUGAGCCUGGCUUCAUGUGUCUCAUAUGGCCAUUAGAAGCAGCUUUCCAGUCAGCUGUGUGUCUCCAGGUGCACUAAUUGGUUGCCAUGGGGACCUUGGAUGCAUAACUAUAGCAGGAGAAAGAAGGCUUGAAGCUAAGGAAACAGGACUCCAAGUAGGCCCUGACGCUCAUCCUCUGUAUCUAUUCCUGAUAAGGAGCUUGUGAGAACACAAGACUCUGCUAAACACAUUAAUACAAUUUAUUAUCACAAUCCUCAAAACACCCCAUAAUAUCUUCAAUGAGCUGAAUUUUAGAAGCCCAGAAUGGUUUCUGUAGCUCAAAGUUUGUGGGUGGAGAUAGGUGGUGAAGCAGACACAUAUUAACUGUGUGUACAAGCAGCUGAACUGCAAGGUAGACCUCAUAAAGCAACAAGUACAAGAAUGUGUGUGUGUGUGUGUGUGUGUGUGUGUGUCUCGUUAAUGACUGCAUCCUAAACAGCUGUGAGAUCAAAGGCAAAUCACUGACCUACUGUUUGAAUGAGAAGCAGCUGAACUGCAGAGGAUUUAGAGGCUCUAAACUUCUUCACAUAGCGUGAUUUCCUUAAGUCACAGAAUGAAAAUAAGAACAUCGUACGAAUCCUCCGCCCUUCAUGAACACAAUGAAGUAUUUUUCAUGUCUGUACUCCGACAGAUGUGGCCACAACAGCGAGUUAAAAAAGUCUGAGCCUGAGCGAUGAUCCGGAUUUUCUUGGAGAAAAUUAACAUUACGGUCAAUGGGAGAGAUUUCCGCCUUCUUUGGACAGUUGGUCACCUGCUGGCCAAGGGGUACGAUUUAAUGAUUUGAAACCUCUUUUGUGAGAAGCAGGACACAUAUACCUCCAUUUUGAUGUAUUAUUUGUGUCAGUGGAGUGAGAUUUGUGGGCGUGGGAGCGAUAUAUUCGAGCGAGGUUCUGUCGAUCAGAGACGAGGUCUGCACUCUAGCUGAUGACAUCAUCACUCUAAACUCUCCAAUACACACCCAUUAUAAAGCCUGAAAUUUGCUGAAAACCACAAGUUGCUUAAAGCUAAAUUGUGGAAAAACUGUAAGAGAUAUAAAAAAACUGAGUACAACUUUAAUAGUCGACAAGUGAAUGAACAUUUUAAAGCAAAAAUGAGGUCUCUAGGUGAAAGUAUGCUGAAGUUAUAAGGUCUAGAAGGUGGAAGAAUAAAAGGAAGAAUUGGAAGAUUUCCCCAUUGACUUCAAUGUUAAAAUUUUUGCACAAAAAGUUAAAAAAAACAAAAAGUAUAAAUGUUAGAAAAGUGAAAAGUAAUAGCAAACGUGUCCUGAAGGAGUGGAAUAGUUUAAAGUUUGAACGGUUGAAAUCGCACAAACUGGGAAGGAGUUGAAAGCGGACGAAAAACGGCGGAAGAAUAAUAAUAAUAAUAAUAAUAAUAAUAAAGAAACGGGAGAAUAACAAUAAGUGGAAAUGCCUAUCAGCAUUUCCACUUAAUAAUAAAGAAACGGGAGAAUAACAAUAAGUGGAAAUGCCUAUCAGCAUUUCCACUUAAUAAAGAAACGGGAGAAUAACAAUAAGUGGAAAUGCUUAAUCAGCAUUUCCACUUAACUAGAAAAAUUGCAUUUCCUUGCAGAAAAUGCGUGGAAAUGCUGAGUGCUGAAAGCUGAAAAAGCAAUGCUAAACUGCUAAUAAAACAUGGAGAAAGGUAUAAAUGUAAAAGCUGUUGAAGGGGGGAAAAAAUAUAUAAGUUAAAUAAUUGUAAAUAAGAGGUUGGAGAAUAAAUAGUACGAAUAUGCUCCUCAAAUUGAAAUUUGAUUCAUGCUGAAAGAGGCUGGAAAUUUUUUUACAAUUACACAAAGUUUGAAUGAAGAAGUAAAUUACCUUAAAAGGCAAGUACGUGAGAAGUGGCAUAAGUUUAAGUUGUAGUACUAGAAGUAGUAUGAUAAUAGGUAGUUGUAGUAGUGAUAUUAGUAGUCAUGUAAGCAGUAGAAGUAGUUUUAGAAUAGAAGAAGUAGAAGUCAAAGCAGUAGAGCUCGUGGUAGAAGUAAGAGUAGAAGUAAAAAAAUAUUAAGAGAAGCAAGAGCAGUGGAGGUAGAAGUGAAGAUACAAGUUAAGGUGACAUAAGUAGUAAUUGUAGUGGUAGAACUGGGAUUUUGCUUGAAGAAUCAAAACAUACAUAAAUAAUGAGAAUGAUUUUGAAGUGGGAAAAACUUUAAAUAAUUAGACGUCCUAAUGUGUUAAACAGGUUUGAAGUAUCCGAAAGGUUUGAAUCAGUUUGAAUGAGUUUGGAUUUGUCUGAAGCAUUUAAUAAUGCAUGAAUAAUGAGAAUAAUUUUAAAGUGGGAAAAAGUUAAAUGAAUAAAAAUCCUGAGUACACCCCAUAUUGUCCUCAAUGAGCUGAAUAUUUGGAAGCCCUGAAUGGUUUCUGUAGCUCAAAGUUUGUAGUCCUCGCUUUGUGGGUCUUUUCUCAUAGACCUCACAAGGCAGCAAGUACAAGAAUGUGUGUGUGUGUGUCUCUCCUUAAUGACUGCAUCCUAAACAGCUGUGAGAUCAAAGGCAUUAACUGACCAACUGUUUGACUGAGAAGCUCCUUAAGUGCAGUGAAUUUAUUGCCUCUGAACUUCUUCACAUAGCGUGAUUUCCUUAAGUCCAAGAAUGAAAAUAAGAACAUCGUACGAAUCCUCCGCCCUUCAUGAACACAAUGAUGUGUUUUUCAUGUCUGUACUCCAAGAAAUGUGGCCACAACAGCGAGUUAAAAAAGUCUGAGCCUGAGUGGCGAUAAGGAUUUUCUUGCAGAAAAAAUACAUUAGGGCUAAUGGGAGAGAUUUCCGCCUAUUUGAACAGUUGGUCACCUGCUGGCCAAGGGGUAGGAUUAAAUGAUUUGAAACCUCUUUUGUGAGAAGCAGGACACAUAUACCUCCAUUUUGAUGUAUUUUUUAUGUCUGUGGAGUGAGAUUUGUAGGCGUGGGAGCGAUAUAUUCGAGCGAGGUUCUGUCGAUCAGAGACGAGGUCUGCACUCUAGCUUUUCAAAUCCUCACUCUAAACUCUCCAAUACACACCCAUUAUAAAGCCUGAAAAUUUGCUGAAAACCACAAGUUGCUUAAAGCUAAAUUGUUGUGGAAGAACUGUAAAAGAUAUCAAAAAACUGACUACAACUGUAAUAGUCGACAAGACAAUGAACAUUUUAAAGCAAAAAUGAGGUCUCUAGGUGAAAGUAUGCAGAAGUUACAAGGUUCAGAAGGUGGAAGAAUAACAGGAAGAAUUGGAAGAUUUCCCCAUUGACUUCAAUGUUAAAAUUUUUGCAUAAAAAGUUAAAAAAAUCAAAAAGUAUAAAGGGUAGAAAAGUGAAAAGUAAUCGCCGUCAUGUCCUGAAGGAGAGGAAUAGUUUAAAGUUUGAACGGUUGAAAUCGCACAAAGUGGAGAAGAGUUAUAAAGUGCCAAAAAAUGGCGGAAGAAAAAUAAUAAUAAUAAUAAUAAUAAUAAAGAAACAGGAGAAUAACAAUAAGUGGAAAUGCCUAUCAGCAUUUCCACUUAACUA